AAAGGCCCUUCGGGGUACUCGAGCGGCGAACGGGUGAGUAACACGUGAGCAACCUGCCCUAGGCUUUGGGAUAACCCCGGGAAACCGGGGCUAAUACCGAAUAUGACCUGCUGUCGCAUGAUGGUGGGUGGAAAGUUUUUCGGCUUGGGAUGGGCUCGCGGCCUAUCAGCUUGUUGGUGGGGUGAUGGCCUACCAAGGCGACGACGGGUAGCCGGCCUGAGAGGGCGACCGGCCACACUGGGACUGAGACACGGCCCAGACUCCUACGGGAGGCAGCAGUGGGGAAUAUUGCACAAUGGGCGGAAGCCUGAUGCAGCGACGCCGCGUGAGGGAUGACGGCCUUCGGGUUGUAAACCUCUUUCAGCAGGGACGAAGCGCGAGUGACGGUACCUGCAGAAGAAGCGCCGGCCAACUACGUGCCAGCAGCCGCGGUAAGACGUAGGGCGCGAGCGUUGUCCGGAUUUAUUGGGCGUAAAGAGCUCGUAGGCGGCUUGUCGCGUCGACUGUGAAAACCCGUGGCUCAACUGCGGGCCUGCAGUCGAUACGGGCAGGCUAGAGUUCGGUAGGGGAGACUGGAAUUCCUGGUGUAGCGGUGAAAUGCGCAGAUAUCAGGAGGAACACCGGUGGCGAAGGCGGGUCUCUGGGCCGAUACUGACGCUGAGGAGCGAAAGCGUGGGGAGCGAACAGGAUUAGAUACCCUGGUAGUCCACGCUGUAAACGUUGGGCGCUAGGUGUGGGGGGCCUCUCCGGUUCUCUGUGCCGCAGCUAACGCAUUAAGCGCCCCGCCUGGGGAGUACGGCCGCAAGG
rnacentral:rRNA from 1 species